rnacentral:rRNA from 1 species
AGGGCGCAUGGCGAAUGCCUUGGCACUAGAAGCUGAAGAAGGACGUGACGAACAACGAUAUGCUUUGGGGAGCAGUAAGUACGCUUUGAUCCAGAGAUUUCCGAAUGGGGGAACCCAGCAGUAGUAAUAGACUGUUAUCCUGACGUGAACACAUAGCGUCAGAGAAAGCAACCCGGCGAACUGAAACAUCUUAGUAACCGGAGGAAGAGAAAGAAAAAUCGAUUCCCUUAGUAGCGGCGAGCGAAGAGGGAAGAGCCCAAACCAGCUCUUCGGAGUUGGGGUAGUAGGACCUCUAUAUAAGAGUAAGAAAUUUUUGAUAUAGUUGAAUCAGAUGGAAAGUUGAACCAAAGAAGGUGAAAGUCCUGUAAACGAAAUAUUAAAAACUCUUUGAGGAAUCCUGAGUAGGGCGGGGCACGAGAAACCCUGUCUGAAUCCACGGGGACCAUCCCGUAAGGCUAAAUACUCUCUAGUGACCGAUAGUGAACAAGUACCGAGAGGGAAAGGUGAAAAGAACCCCGGGAGGGGAGUGAAAUAGAAUACUGAAACCAUGUGCUUACAAAAAGUCAAAGCCCGUUAAUGGGUGAUGGCGUGCCUUUUGCAGAAUGAACCGGCGAGUUAAUGUUGCAUGCAAGGUUAAGUUGAAGAGACGGAGCCGAAGCGAAAGCGAGUCUUAAUAGGGCGAAUAAGUAUGCAGUAUUAGACCCGAAACCGAGUGAUCUAGCCAUGAGCAGGUUGAAGUUUUGGUAAUACAGAAUGGAGGACCGAACCGACGUACCCGGAAACGUGCGCGGAUGACUUGUGGCUAGCGGUGAAAUUCCAAACGAACUCGGAUAUAGCUGGUUCUCCCCGAAAUAGGUUUAGGCCUAGCCUUGAGGUUAAGUACUAUGGAGGUAGAGCACUGAAUAUACAAUGGCCCCAUCUAGGGGUACUGAGUGUAAUCAAACUCCGAAUGCCAUAGAAAACAUACUCAGGAGUCAGCGUGUGGGUGAUAACGUCCAUACGCGAAAGGAAAAGAGUCCAAGAUCGCCGAUUAAGGUCCCAAAAUUUGUACUAAGUGGGAAAGGAUGUGGAGUUGUCAAAACAGCUAGGAGGUUGGCUUAGAAGCAGCCAUCCUUUAAAGAGUGCGUAAUAGCUCACUAGUCGAGUGACACUGCGCCGAAGAUGUACCGGGGCUAAGUACAAUACCGAAAUCGCGGAUUCAUGCGAAUGCAUGAGUGGUAGGGGAGCGUUCCAAGGGCGUUGAAGGUUGACCGUGAGGACAACUGGAGCGCUUGGAAGUGAGAAUGCCGGUGUGAGUAGCGCAAGAUGGGUGAGAAUCCCAUCCACCGUUUGACUAAGGGUUUCUGGGGCAGGUUCGUCCUCCCAGAGUUAGUCGGGUCCUAAGACGAGGCCGAAAGGCGUAGCCGAUGGACAACAGGUUGAUAUUCCUGUACUACCUAUAUGACUGAUGGAGUGACGGAGAAGGCUAGGGAGAGCCAGUUAAUGGAUUCUGGUCUAAGCACAAAGGUUUACAAUUAGGGAAAUCCGGUUGUAGGUAAGCUGAAGUGUGAUGGUGAAGCUACAUGUAGCGAAAUCUUCUGACGCCAAGCUUCCAAGAAAAGCUUCUAGGGCUAAUCAUAUAGGUACCCGUACCCAGAACCGACACAGGUGGUCAAGGAGAGUAUCCUAAGGUGAGCGAGAGAACCAUGGUUAAGGAACUCGGCAAAAUAACCCCGUAACUUCGGAAUAAGGGGUGGUCAUUUCGGUGACCGACACUAAAGACGCCCAGGCAACUGUUUACCAAAAACACAGGUUUCUGCCAAUUCGAAAGAAGAAGUAUAGGAGCUGACACCUGCCCAGUGCUGGAAGGUUAAGAGGAGUGCUUAGAUAGAUUGAAAAAUCGAUGAUUCGAAGGUACGAAUUGAAGCCCCAGUGAACGGCGGCCGUAACUAUAACGGUCCUAAGGUAGCGAAAUUCCUUGUCAGGUAAGUUCUGACCCGCACGAAAGGUGUAAUGAUCUGGGCACUGUCUCGACCAUGGACUCGGUGAAAUCUUAAUACCUGUGAAAAUGCAGGUUACCCGCAUCAGGACGGAAAGACCCCAUGGAGCUUUACUGUAGCUUGAUAUUGAAGUUUGGUAAGUUAUGUAGAGGAUAGGUGGGAGACUAAGAUACUGAGACGCCAGUCUCAGAGGAGUCAACCUUGGAAUACCACCCUUAGCUUAUUGAAUUUCUAACCUAGACCCAUAAACUGGG